rnacentral:lncRNA from 1 species
UCUGUAUGCAGUUCUGAGUACUGAACACCACAUACUGCUUUUGAAUAACAGAUGAUUUCGUUUGGAGGACAUAACUGCUAAACCCUUCCCCUUCUCCCUGGCUCUCUGGCAUUCCAGCUGAGAUAAUCAGUAGAAAGGGACUUGGCACCAAAUGGAUCAGCAGCUGAAGGACUUCCAAAGGCAAAGCUUGUCAGUCGACUGAUCUACCCAGACGCCACUGCUUUACACAGCACAAUCCGCCACAGGUAUGCACUGCUCCAAGGAUUAACAUCAAUCCAAAUGGUUUAGUCAUCAAUCCCCAGGGGAAAUAACUUGUAUAUUAUUUUACUCAUUUCAGUGACAAGUGAUAUCACAAUUAAAGAAACUUGCAGAGCAAAGUAGUAGAGUAAGAAACUCACUAUUGGAAUGUGAC